GGGGCCGUGGACAAACGGAAAGUCGCUUGUUAUCGCAAAGCACGAGACCCGGGUUCGAAUCCCGGCGGCCCCU
rnacentral:tRNA from 1 species